rnacentral:tRNA from 1 species
CAAAUUAGAGCUUGAUUUAAGCAUUUUAUUUACAUUAAAAGGAUAAUUGUAAUAAAUUCAAUUUAAUUUGA